rnacentral:rRNA from 1 species
GAUGAACGCUAGCGGCAGGCUUAAUACAUGCAAGUCGAGGGGCAGCAUGACUGUAGCAAUACAGUUGAUGGCGACCGGCAAACGGGUGCGGAACACGUACAGAACCUUCCUUUAAGUGGUGAAUAGCCCAGAGAAAUUUGGAUUAAUACACCGUAACAUAUAGAGUUGGCAUCAAUUUUAUAUUAUAGCUCCGGCGCUUAAAGAUGGCUGUGCGGCUGAUUAGGUAGUUGGCGGGGUAACGGCCCACCAAGCCUACGAUCAGUAACUGGUGUGAGAGCACGACCAGUCACACGGGCACUGAGGCACGGGCCCGACUCCUACGGGAGGCAGCAGUAAGGAAUAUUGGUCAAUGGACGCAAGUCUGAACCAGCCAUGCCGCGUGAAGGAUUAAGGUCCUCUGGAUUGUAAACUUCUUUUAUCUGGGACGAAAAAAGGCGAUUCUUCGUCACUUGACGGUACCAGAUGAAUAAGCACCGGCUAACUCCGUGCCAGCCGCCGCCGUAACAC